ACUGUGGUAGAAGCACAUAGACAUGGUCAAGAGCAAGCUCUUGGAGCAGAAUUGCCAUUUAAUCAGGAGGUCGAGGUCGGAUAUCUCGAAAAAUCUGUUCAUGUCAACACUAUCUAAUUAGCUUAAAGAGGUGCAUCAAGAUAUCAGCUAGUAUAAUCUGUGCCUGUUCCAACCGGCCAUGCUUUCGGAUGGUCGACCAUAUUCCGAAAUCGAAUCUAGUUUCAACCAUUUCGGUAUGGGUCUUAUAUCAGCUCAGCCAAUUACUCAGCCAAUUAAUGACCUGAAGCUCUCAAGAAAGACUUCAAUUUUCUUUGCUUCGCUUUUCUUCCAAGAAUGUCACAGUAAAGCAGAUACAUUUCAUCUGAUGGGAAGAGGUGAGAUCGGACUCACUAUCCCCCAUUGAAUGCUUACUCAUUCUAUGAUUUGGGGAGGACACCGCACUUAUUACUCCAGUUUGGAGUUGGGGUGAGCCAAUUGCACUCAUGCACAGGAAGCUUCUACUGCUAAACUUUUCGUCACUCCUUCACAUGGGUUGCCGAAUGCGUUGAUAGACACAUUGACCAUACAACUCUUCGAUCCUAUGCAUGCC